rnacentral:rRNA from 14 species
ACUGAGACACGGCCCAGACUACUACGGGAGGCAGCAGUGGGGAAUUUUCCGCAAUGGACGAAAGUCUGACGGAGCGACGCUGCGUGAAGGAUGACGGCCUGCGGGUUGUAAACUUCUUUUCUCGAAGAAGAAUAAAUGACGGUAUUCGAGGAAUAAGCAUCGGCUAACUCUGUGCCAGCAGCCGCGGUAAGACAGAGGAUGCAAGUGUUAUUCGGAUUGAUUGGGCGUAAAGCGUCUGUAGGCGGUUUGGAAAGUCUUUUGUGAAAUUCUUCAGCUCAACUGGGGGUCCGCAAAAGAAACUUCUAAGCUUGAGGGAAGUAGAGGUAUAGGGAAUUUCCGGUGGAGCGGUGAAAUGCGUAGAUAUCGGAAGGAACACCAAUAUGGCGAAGGCACUGUACUGGGCUUUACCUGACGCUAAGAGACGAAAGCUAAAGGAGUGAUUAGGAUUAGAUACCCUAGUAAUUUUAGCCGUAAACGAUGGAAACUCACUGCCGAGCCGGUAUUCGGAGCGGUGGUCAAGCUAACGCGUGAAGUUUCCCGCCUGGGGACUACGCAUGCAAAUGUGAAACUCAAAGGAAUUGACGGGGACCCGCACAAGCGGUGGAGUAUGUGGUUUAAUUCGAUCAACGCGAAAAACCUUACCAGGGUUUGAAAUCAUUCCAAAACCUUUUGAAAGAAAGGCCUCCUUCGGGAUGGAAUGACAGGUGGUGCAUGGCUGUCGUCAGCUCGUGUUGUGAAAUGUCAAGUUAAGUCUUGUAACGAGCGCAACCCAUGUCAUUUGUUGCUGUUUUCAGUGCUUAAAUGAGACUGCCGCUCUACAGCGGAGGAAGGUGUGGAUGAUGUCAAGUCAGCAUGCCCCUUAUAUCCUGGGCUACACACGUACUACAAUGGUCGGGACAAUGAGCUGCAAACCUGCAAAGGCUAGCCAAUCUCAAAAACCCGAUCUCAGUUCGGAUUGUACUCUGCAACUCGAGUGCAUGAAGGUGGAAUCGCUAGUAAUCGCUGGUCAGCAUACAGCGGUGAAUACGUUCCCGGGUCUUGUACACACUGCCCGUCACACCAUGGAAGUCGACUCUUCCCUAAGUCGUUACUCGAACCCUUUUGGGACGAGGAUGCCGAAGGCAGGGUUGGUGACUAGGGUGAAGUCGGAACAAGGUAGCCGUACUGGAAGG